AGUGAACGCUGGCGGUAGGCUUAACACAUGCAAGUCGAACGGCAGCACAGUAAGAGCUUGCUCUUACGGGUGGCGAGUGGCGGACGGGUGAGGAAUACAUCGGAAUCUACUUUUUCGUGGGGGAUAACGUAGGGAAACUUACGCUAAUACCGCAUACGACCUACGGGCGAAAGCAGGGGAUCUUCGGACCUUGCGCGAUUGAAUGAGCCGAUGUCGGAUUAGCUAGUUGGCGGGGUAAAGGCCCACCAAGGCGACGAUCCGUAGCUGGUCUGAGAGGAUGAUCAGCCACACUGGAACUGAGACACGGUCCAGACUCCUACGGGAGGCAGCAGUGGGGAAUAUUGGACAAUGGGCGCAAGCCUGAUCCAGCCAUACCGCGUGGGUGAAGAAGGCCUUCGGGUUGUAAAGCCCUUUUGUUGGGAAAGAAAAGCAGCAGGUUAAUACCCCGCUGUUCUGACGGUACCCAAAGAAUAAGCACCGGCUAACUUCGUG
rnacentral:rRNA from 1 species